GUGCUUAACACAUGCAAGUCGAACGAUGAAGAGCAGCUUGCUGCUUGGAUUAGUGGCGCACGGGUGAGUAAUAUAUAGGUAAUGUGCCUCUUAGUCUGGGAUAGCCAUUGGAAACGAUGAUUAAUACUGGAUACUCCUUCUAACUCUAAUGUUAGUCGGGAAAGUUUUUCGCUAAGAGAUCAGCCUAUAUCCCAUCAGUUAGUUGGUAAGGUAACGGCUUACCAAGGCAAUGACGGGUAGCGGGUUUGAGAGGAUGAUCCGCCACACUGGUACUGAGACACGGACCAGACUCCUACGGGAGGCAGCAGUGAGGAAUAUUGCACAAUGGGGGAAACCCUGAUGCAGCAACGCCGCGUGGAGGAUGACGCAUUUCGGUGUGUAAACUCCUUUUAUAUGUCAAGAAAAUGACGGUAGCAUAUGAAUAAGCACCGGCUAACUCCGUGCCAGCAGCCGCGGUAAUACGGAGGGUGCAAGCGUUACUCGGAAUCACUGGGCGUAAAGGACGCGUAGGCGGAUUGGAAAGUCAGAUGUGAAAUCCUACAGCUUAACUGUAGAACUGCAUUUGAAACUUCUAAUCUAGAGUAUGGGAGGGGGAGAUGGAAUUAGUGGUGUAGGGGUAAAAUCCGUAGAUAUCACUAGGAAUACCGAAAGCGAAGGCGAUCUCCUGGAACAUUACUGACGCUAAGGCGUGAAAGCGUGGGGAGCAAACAGGAUUAGAUACCCUGGUAGUCCACGCCCUAAACGAUGAACACUAGUCGUCGGGAUGCUUGUCAUCUCGGUGAUGCACUUAACAGAUUAAGUGUUCCGCCUGGGGAGUAC
rnacentral:rRNA from 1 species